CAGCAGCCGCCACGGUAAUACAGAGGGUGCGAGCGUUAAUCGGAUUUACUGGGCGUAAAGCGUGCGUAGGCGGCUUCUUAAGUCGGAUGUGAAAUCCCUGAGCUUAACUUAGGAAUUGCAUUCGAUACUGGGAAGCUAGAGUAUGGGAGAGGAUGGUAGAAUUCCAGGUGUAGCGGUGAAAUGCGUAGAGAUCUGGAGGAAUACCGAUGGCGAAGGCAGCCAUCUGGCCUAAUACUGACGCUGAGGUACGAAAGCAUGGGGAGCAAACAGGAUUAGAUACCCCUGUAGUCCCUGUCUCUUAUAC
rnacentral:rRNA from 1 species